CCCUCUCCUAGCCUGGGGGGCAGGUUGCAGGCUGGUUCAGGGGUUCCUAGGACACAGAGGGCUCUGGGCAACCUCUCAGGCUAGUUGGGAUUUAUUCCUUUCCUUAUUCAUUCAGCAGAUAUUAAGUGAGUUCCAGGUACCAUGCUGAGCCCUGGGGAAACCAGAGUGAAUGGGACGUUGGCUCAUUCUCAAGGGGCACAGAUUCAGGAGAGAAGAUGGAUUUUACAAGCAGCUGUCCUGUUGGUCUAUUUCAUUUCCCCCCAUUUCUGGUUUGAUUGCCCUUCCUCCCAUUGACCAGUGAUGAACUCCUACUCACCCAUCAAGACCCAGGUUUUACAGAGUUCACUUAGCUGCUGUGCAGAAGAGGGGAUGAAGGAUGACAGGAGUGGAAUUAGGAGACGUUAAAGUCUACUGCAAGGAUCCAUGUAAGUGGCAAUUGACCAGGGUUAAAGCAGUGAGCUGGAGAGAAGGUAAGAGAUCAUGGCUCUAUUUUGGACUUGCCUAUGAAAUGUAUGUGUGUGUGCAUGUGUGUGAAAAAUAAAGAAAUCAAAGGUAUUGUGGUCACCUCAAGACUUGGCAUGUAAGUAGCCCUAAAAAGUGUUUGAUGCAUUGAAAGCAUAUGUUUCUCUUUAUUUAAAAUUAUCAUCUCUCUAAGUAAUGAUUUAAUAGCCACACAGCCUAUGCAUCAUGUGAGCUUAAUGAAAGUGUUCUAAGAGGGUUUUCAACAAAAUUGCAUUUAGAAGUAAAUAUUUACUUGAGUACAACUCAUUUGUGAAAUUAAGUCAGCUUUAUGAGGCAUACUCAAUUAUUUUUGUAACUAGUGAGCAGCAUAAUAUCUGUGGAAUUACACAACGUGAAGCCUCCUAGCUUAUAAACACAGACUUCUUUAAAAAAAGUGCAGUCAGAGACAAAACAAGUUUCUUAGCACCUCAGAAACAUCUAGCAAGUAUGUGUGCAGUGCCUGACUGGGUACAAUUAGAAAUCUAGGAAAAGUGGGAAGCCAUGACUUCCUCUGUGCUUUUUCCCAGUUAUGAAGCAAAUUCCAGGAUCCUGGAAUAAAAUUCAAUUGUGCAUCUAGUCUCUUAUGUCUAUGUGCAGCACUUUCCAGACUUACUGGGGACAUCAAGAGAAAUGGUCUCUGCCCUAGAGGAGUUCCUCUAGGGUAGUGGAGAGAAAGGGGGAGAGAGAGAGAACGGGGGGCAAGCUACUGAUAAUUGGGGGUGAUAAGUGCAAAGGAUAGAUGCAAACUCAGGGUGCUGCUAUCGGAGCCCACAAGGGCAGCCAACACAUGGAGGAGUGGGUGAGGGAUAGAGUCAAGGGUCCAAGGGUCGGCCUCCUCGGGGCUGGGAGGCGUGAUUAGAAUCUUGAAGGCUGAGCAGGAGCUAUGCAGAUGGAGGGAGAGGGGAAAGACAGAGAGAGAAACCUGGGCAAGUGUUGGGAGGUGGGAAAGCCCAGUGGAGGAAUUGUGAUGGAGGUGAGGAGGGUCAUAGCAUCUUGUGAGGUGGGAGCCCACUGAGUCACAGAGGGUCUUGCCUGCCAUGCUAAGGACCUCAUUCUGGAGAUCAUAGGGAGCCCCUGAAAGCGAGUAAGCAGCAAGAGGAAUGAGCAGGUGGGCCUUGCACAAGAAUUUAUCUGUUAACAAUGUGGCAUGGAUUGAAGUCCAGGAAGAAAAGGUAGACGUUUGCUUGACCUCCAGACAUGAAAACUGAGGCUCUGGGGUUGGGAGGGAGAAUCAGGAAGUAGGAUAAACAGUGGGAAUGUGAAAGGAGGAUGACGAAAGAGGAGACAAGGCUUAGAUUUAGGCUAAACCCAGAUUACUUCAUAUUUUAAUAACAACAAAAACAAAGCAAGCAAGCAUGUCACCAGUGUGCAGGCUCUCAACCUUAAGUGACUAUUGAGUUGGCCAAAAGGUUCGUUCGGUUUUUUUCCAUAAGAUGGCUCUAGUAGCGCUUAUUUGUCUUUUACUUCAUUCGAAACAAUUUUGUUAGAUUGUAUUGUGACAGCUGUCGUAUCAGCAUGCAUUUUUUAAAAACUUACCAAAAUUGGUGAAUUUUUGUUUACCCAUUUUAAUAUUGAAGAUGGAAGAAAAAAGCAAAUUUUUGGCAUAUUAUGCUUUAGUAUUUCAAGAAAGGUAAAAACGCAACUGAAACGCAAAAAAAGAUUUGUGCAGUGUAUGGAGAAGGUGCUGUGAGUGAUCGAACGUGUCAAAAGUGGUUUGUGAAGUUUUGUGCUGGAGAUUUCUCGCUGGAUGAUGCUCUGCGGUCAGGUAGACCAGUUGAAGUUGGUAGUGAUCAAAUUGAGACAUUAAUUGAGAACAGUCAGCGUUAUACCACGCGGGAGAUAGCCGACAUCCUCAAAAUAUCCAAAUCAAGUGUUGAAAAUCAUUUGCACCAGCUUGGUUUUCUUAAUCGCUUUGAUGUGUGGGUUCCACAAAAGCUGAGUGAAAAAAACCUUCCUGACCAUAUUUCUCCAUGCGAUUCUCUUCUUAAAUGUAACGAAAACGUUCCAUUUUUUAAAACAAAUUGUGACGGGCGAUGAAAAGUGGAUACUGUACAAUAAUGUGGAACGGAACAGAUCGUGGGGCAAGCGAAAUGAACCACCACCAACCACACCAAAGGCCGGUCUUCAUCCAAAGAAGGUGAUGUUGCAUAUACGGUGGGAUCGGAAGGGAGUCCUCUAUUAUGAGCUCCUUCUGGAAAACCAAACGUUUAAUUCCAACAAGUACUGCUCCCAAUUAGACCAACUUAAAGCAGCACUCGACAAGAAGCGUCCAAAAUUAAUCAACAGGAAAUGCAUAAUCUUCCAUCAGGGUAAUACAAGACCGCAUGUUUCUUUGAUGACCAGGCAAAAACUGUUACAGCUUGGCUGGGAAGUUCUGAUUCAUCUGACCUAUUAACCAGACCUUGCACCUUCGGAUUUCCAUUUAUUUCGGUCUUUACAAAAUUAUCUUAAUGGAAAAAACUUCAAUUCCCUGGAAGACUGUAAAAGGCACUUAGAACAAUUCUUUGCUCAAAAAGAUAAAAAGCUUUGGGAAGAUGGAAUUAUGAAGUUGCCUGGAAAAUGACAGAAGAUAGUGGAACAAAAUGGUAAAUACAUUGCUCAAUAAAGUUCUUGGUGAAAAUGAAAAAAGUGUCUUUUAUUUGUACUUUAAAAGUGAAGGAACUUUUUUGGCCAACCCAAUGUGAAGGACAACAGUGUCGCAUUUCCAGUCUUCUUUUCCCCUAAUUUAACUCUUGUAGGUCAUAGAUGAGAUCCAUGUCCCAUGAAUGUCAUUUUACAUUUGUUAGUGUUUGAUGCUAGUUUGUAUGUUUGAAGAUAUUUUAUUUUUAGAAAAUGGAAUUUGUGUUACCUCCUAAGCA